rnacentral:rRNA from 1 species
CGCUAGCUACAGGCUUAACACAUGCAAGUCGAGGGGCAGCAUGGUCUUAGCUUGCUAAGGCCGAUGGCGACCGGCGCACGGGUGAGUAACACGUAUCCAACCUGCCGUCUACUCUUGGACAGCCUUCUGAAAGGAAGAUUAAUACAAGAUGGCAUCAUGAGUCCGCAUGUUCACAUGAUUAAAGGUAUUCCGGUAGACGAUGGGGAUGCGUUCCAUUAGAUAGUAGGCGGGGUAACGGCCCACCUAGUCUUCGAUGGAUAGGGGUUCUGAGAGGAAGGUCCCCCACAUUGGAACUGAGACACGGUCCAAACUCCUACGGGAGGCAGCAGUGAGGAAUAUUGGUCAAUGGGCGAGAGCCUGAACCAGCCAAGUAGCGUGAAGGAUGACUGCCCUAUGGGUUGUAAACUUCUUUUAUAAAGGAAUAAAGUCGGGUAUGGAUACCCGUUUGCAUGUACUUUAUGAAUAAGGAUCGGCUAACUCCGUGCCAGCAGCCGCGGUAAUACGGAGGAUCCGAGCGUUAUCCGGAUUUAUUGGGUUUAAAGGGAGCGUAGAUGGAUGUUUAAGUCAGUUGUGAAAGUUUGCGGCUCAACCGUAAAAUUGCAGUUGAUACUGGAUAUCUUGAGUGCAGUUGAGGCAGGCGGAAUUCGUGGUGUAGCGGUGAAAUGCUUAGAUAUCACGAAGAACUCCGAUUGCGAAGGCAGCCUGCUAAGCUGCAACUGACAUUGAGGCUCGAAAGUGUGGGUAUCAAACAGGAUUAGAUACCCUGGUAGUCCACACGGUAAACGAUGAAUACUCGCUGUUUGCGAUAUACUGCAAGCGGCCAAGCGAAAGCGUUAAGUAUUCCACCUGGGGAGUACGCCGGCAACGGUGAAACUCAAAGGAAUUGACGGGGGCCCGCACAAGCGGAGGAACAUGUGGUUUAAUUCGAUGAUACGCGAGGAACCUUACCCGGGCUUAAAUUGCAGAUGAAUUACGGUGAAAGCCGUAAGCCGCAAGGCAUCUGUGAAGGUGCUGCAUGGUUGUCGUCAGCUCGUGCCGUGAGGUGUCGGCUUAAGUGCCAUAACGAGCGCAACCCUUGUUGUCAGUUACUAACAGGUUCCGCUGAGGACUCUGACAAGACUGCCAUCGUAAGAUGUGAGGAAGGUGGGGAUGACGUCAAAUCAGCACGGCCCUCACGUCCGGGGCUACACACGUGUUACAAUGGGGGGUACAGAGGGCCGCUACCACGCGAGUGGAUGCCAAUCCCCAAAACCUCUCUCAGUUCGGACUGGAGUCUGCAACCCGACUCCACGAAGCUGGAUUCGCUAGUAAUCGCGCAUCAGCCACGGCGCGGUGAAUACGUUCCCGGGCCUUGUACACACCGCCCGUCAAGCCAUGGGAGCCGGGGGUACCUGAAGUGCGUAACCGCGAGGAGCGCCCUAGGGUAAAACUGGUGAAAGG